rnacentral:sRNA from 1 species
AUCUCUGCAAGGAGAAACACCUUUUUAGAUCUUUUAGAUGCUGCUUCUUCAAUGCAAGGAAAGGAAAUAACCCCAGCGAGGUACUCUUCAGGGACACAGGUCUAGUACAAGAGAACUCUUGACGGCUACUAAGUUCAGCCAGUCUUAAAAAACUGUGCUGUUUCUACAAAACUUUAACUACAGUAGUUUAUAAGGAUGCCAACGAAAGCUGAGGGUGUAGAGCAAAAUAGUUCUAAGCUUCAGUUAAACUUCUUUAGGUAAGAUCUUAUUUACUUUUCCUUUCUUAAUUUUCCUCCCUAAAAGAUAAACUAAUACUCUUAAAUGGUCUUUCAGUAUAGUGGUUCUUACGUAGUUUAACAUAGCUAUAAAUUGAGUUUAACAAUUUAUAAACUCAAGAGAAUAAUUUUUAUAAACCCUGUUUUCCAAUCUGUCAUUUACUUAAAUUAUUUUGGUUGUUUUUCCCCUUUUUUCCUUCUUUUCCCACCCCCUCCCCCUCCGUGUGAAGAUUUGGGUGCUUAACAUAUCAUUUUUUUCCCUGCCGGAAUUUUAGCAUUGAUAUGAACCAUGGACAAGUAUAUUCUGCUGCCACAAAGACUGUAAAGUGCUUCAUUUCAACAGCUGAGGCAAGCCAAGUGAUCAUUAAUAAAGCUUUUCUUGGUUCCUUCAGUGGUGUUGGUAGUAAAAUGGAAGGUGUCUUGCUGCAGGUAACUAAUGAAGAAGUGGUCAACCACAGAGUCUUCAAGAAAUAAGAAAUUCUGUACCAUCUGAAAGUAGUUCUUGUUGGUGCCUUCAUUUAAAAAGCACUCUUUAAAAUAAAAGGGAAAUGUUUUCUGAUAAAACAAACAUUUAGUUGAGGUUCUUGAUAUAAAACAAUUACAAAAUGAGUGUUGUUUGUAAAACAGUAACAUCAAAUUGGCUAGAGAGAUAAAUGUAUCAUGUUUUAAAUUAGGUUUUGUGAGUAGACAGAUUACAAUUCUAUUUUAAAUAUAAAGUUUAUAAAAUAAAUACUUUUUGUAUCCAAAUACUUGGUGUAAUGUUUACACAUAAAAUGUGUGAAUCUUGUUCUAUAAACAUUUGGUUGUCUAAAAGAUCACCAUCCCCUAAAUUUUUAAAAGCAGUUUCACAAAGCUAUGCAUAUUUUAAUAUUAACAGAUAAAUGAGAAGAGCAUUGUGGACGUUAUUGGCUGUCCCCAAUAAAAUGCUGUUCAUUAUGCACUGUA